CUGGCCAUGACAAAUGCCGCUCCAUGACAUGGCUCCUGGGCAGACGAAGCACGCUACCCACUAGAUACAAACUACUGCUCUACAAAGCCAUCAUAAAGCCGGCUUGGACAUUGAGCUGUGGGGCACUGCCUCUUCUACAAAUAUCAAAAAACUACAGAGAGCAGAAUGCCGCAUUCUAAGAUUUAUCCUCAACUGUCCUUACUACGUGAGGAACACAACAAUCAAAAGGGAGCUCAAAAUGCAAAGUGUCGCCGAGGAAUCCAGGAAAGCUAGCAUGAGGCACCUGGAGAAGCUGGAGAACCACCAGAACCAACUUGCUGUCAACCUCCUUGACAACAGCCUACAGCGCAGAAGACUCCGAAGAAACCAUCCACUUGACCUAGCUUUCCGGGUUCCCUAAAGGAAUCCUCUGAUGACCCUAGCUAACAAAUAUAAGAUUGCCUAGGGAAUCUACAUAACCGCCAACGUACCACAUAAUUUAAUUGAUUGACCUCCUGGGCAGAUGUAAAUAAAGAUACUGUAAUAUAAAAAAAAAAAAAACACGGACCAAUUGGAGGGCAAGUUUGGUGCCAGCAGCCGCGGUAAUUCCAGCUCCAAUAGCGUAUAUUAAAGUUGUUGCGGUUAAAACGUUCGUAGUUGAACUUGUGCUUCAUACGGGUAGUACAACUUAAAAUUGUGGUUAGUACUAUACCUUUAUGUAUGUAAGCGUAUUACCGGUGGAGUUCUUAUAUGUGAUUAAAUACUUGUAUUUUUUCAUAUGUUCCUCCUAUUUAAAAACCUGCAUUAGUGCUCUUAAACGAGUGUUAUUGUGGGCCGGUACUAUUACUUUGAACAAAUUAGAGUGAAAUAAGACCACUGUUCUGCUUUCAUUGGUUUUCAGAUCAAGAGGUAAUGAUUAAUAGAAGCAGUUUGGAGGCAUUAGUAUUACGACGCGAGAGGUGAAAUUCUAGGACCGUCGUAAGACGAACUUAAUGUUUUCAUUAAUCAAGAACAAAAAUUAGAGGUUCGAAGGCGAUCAGAUACCGCCCUAGUUCUAACCAUAAACGAUGCCACCUAGCAAUUGGGUGCUCUUAUGGGCAAUUAUGGCUCUCUCAGUCGCUUCCCGAGAAACCAAAGCUUUUGGGCUCCGGGGGAAGUAUGGUUACAAAGCUGAAACUUAAAGAAAUUGACGGAAGGGCACCACCAGGAGUGGAGCCUGCGGCUUAAUUUGACUCAACACGGGAGAACUUUCCAGGUCCGAACAUAAGUGUGUAAGACAGAUUGCUAGCUCUUUCUCGAAUCUAUGGGUGGUGGGUCAUGGCCGUUCUUAGUUCGUGGAGUGAUUUGUCUUAUUAAAUAGAUAUUAAAUAGAUAUCUUCAGGAUUAUGGUGCUGAAGCUGAUAUAGUCCUUAUUCAUGGUGGCAGUUAAAUGUUUAUUGUGUUUGAAUGUGUUUAUGUAAGUGGAGCCAUACCUGUUGGUUUGUACCAUUAUAAGGACACUAGCUUCUUAAAUGGACAAAUUGCGUCUAGCAAUAAUGAGAUUGAGCAAUAACAAGUCUGUGAUGCCCUUAGAUGUCCUGGGCUGCACG
rnacentral:rRNA from 1 species